rnacentral:lncRNA from 1 species
CCAUUUACAACAAUAACUGGGCACCUGACUGGGUUCCUUCCAGCGAUGAUGCGUGUGAAUAUGCCAUCGGUGAGAUUACUGAGCGCACUGAAGCUAGCACAAAGUUCUCGUUUCUGACUCCAGUAGACGGUUACACAGCUGUGUUCAGGUUUGACAAUGAAAGGGGUAUUCUGGAGAUUCCUGCAAAUGAGAACUUGAGGUUUUCUCACCAUAUACCUUCUUACCGUCUGACAGAAGAAAAAAGUGGCACGCUCCGUGGCUUCUAUGAGCUAGAUCCAGCUUCUGUUCCUGAUGCUUUCCUGGUCCGAGGCGGCACCUGCUGACCGACUGACUUGGAAGCUAACAUUAAAUUACUUCCAAUUAAGUCAAGUAGUCAUCUGGUCGCUACUAUGAUCUGGUUAUUAAUCACACUUUGAAAGUGUUAUCUGCAGGGGCGAGCAAAUGAUCAGUUAGGCUCUCUGUAUUUCUAGAUGUUUUACCGUAUUUCCUAGUGCUUGGGCGUAUUUUGGCCAUUUCUGUUGUGGACCUUAUGAAAGCUAGGUGUGGACCUUAUGAAAGACUGGAAAAAAGGUAACUUGAUGGUUGUUAGUUUGGAUCAGGAUUCUGCUUACCGUUGUGUUGUGUGCUAUCUGCGUGCAUGCAUUAUUCUGGUUUGUGUUCAGGUUUUUGGCAUUGCUGAACUAUUUGGAGAUGCAUUUAUGCCCUUUCCUAGGUAAGGAGCAGUUUAAUAAAUAGAUAAAUUGCUUAACAU